GGCGGCCCGGGGAGCGUCCGCCAAGUGCGGCCGCGGCGGCGGGCGCGGGGCGGGCAGGGAGCGUCGGGAAAGGGACGGGAGCGAGGGAAAGGGACGGGAGCGAGGGAGAGGGACGGGAGCGAGGGAGAGGGACGGGAGCGAGGGAGAGGGACGGGAGCGUCGGUAAAGGGAAGGGAGCGAGGGAAAGGGACGGGAGCGUCGGGAAAGGGACGGGAGCGUCGGGAAAGGGACGGGAGAGUCGGGAAAGGGACGGGAGCGUCGGGAAAGGGACGGGAGCGUCGGGAAAGGGACGGGAGCGAGGGAAAGGGACGGGAGCGAGGGAAAGGGACGGGAGCGCGGGACGGGAGCGAGGGAAAGGGACGGGAGCAGAACCGAAAGGGCGCGGAGCCUGCCGGUACCGGGAACGGCGGCCUGAGAGGCACCGCACCGGGGUCAUCGGCCUCUCAGAUCCUGCCUGCACUGCUUUUGCUGUGUUCCCAAGGCUCCAAAACUCACCCUGGUUUGCACACAGCCAGCCCUGUGACAUUUCCCCUGAGGACACGGGAUAAAUGAUGGGAUCCAUGGGUUAUAGAUACAUAUUAUAAUAUUGGCUUUUUGCAAAUAUUUAAAUGGAUUUUAUAUGUGUUGUGUUAAAUUAAGUUUGUUAUAAAGAUACAGUUUUGAUUUCUGGUGUUAAUUAAGCUUAGUGAAAUAGCUGAUAUGAGUGUGCUUGUGUUAAAUUGCUGCUGGGAUGGGAUAAAAUCCACUGAACACAGGAUGAGGACACUGCUAUUGAUAUUCCACUUAUCAGCAGUGUGCACCAAGGCCCAAAAACUGGAGGGGAUAAAAAGACCAAAACCACAACCAAGGAAUCCACAUGUUCUAAAAAGGUGGAACUGAGGAGGAGCCAGGCUAAGCAGUUUUUGGAAAAUGUAAACCAGUUUGGGGAAAAGUUUACUGUGCAUAAGGGUCUGUGAAUAUGCAACAGGCUGAUGCACUAGAAAUGGUAAAUAAAGGGUGUUUCCAAACUAGCA
rnacentral:lncRNA from 1 species